CUUUAGGCAAGGAAUCCGGAACGUCAAGUGGACACGCCGGAGGUGAUACCCGCGGAAAAGGUGUGCUUUGAAGGUAUGAAUGAGGUCCUCCCGGAUGGCGAUCAAGUACAUGUCAAGAACCGAACACAUAUUUCGAAGCUUCCGCACUAAACUUAAUUUUGUCUAAACUUUAAACAUGAUGUAAUUUCUUUUGUUGAUCGUGUUUUUAAAUCCCUCAAACUAGUGAUUAGUUUA